rnacentral:misc_RNA from 1 species
CUCUCCUUCCCUCUCUCUCUAGAUAUGACUUUCAACUUCCAACUACUCUGAUGCCCUUCUUAUUUCAUGUGCAUCAUCUGUAUCGCCUUAUGAGAUAAUCUGCUUCUCUCUGUAUCGUCUUCUUCAAUUACUCACUUUCACUCAUGGCUCCUAGCAAGCUCAAUUCCACUGAUUCCUGUGGAAAUGGAAAUGUGAGUUUUUGCUGCUCACAGCCAGAUAAUGGAUUUAACGAUCCACUUUCUCUCUUCCAUUCUGAGAAGGCGGUGCAGGAGCUUCUUCAACAGACUCCAGUCCAGGGAACUGAUGACCAACACGUAGAGUUCUCAGAGGCACUAAGAACUGUUGCAAAGGCAUUAAGACGAGCUGCUGAAGGAAAAGCUUCUGCUCAAGCUGAGGCUGCUGAAUGGAAGCGAAGAUAUGAACUGGAGAGGGAACGAAAUCAGCGACUGCAGCUUAAAGGUUUCUAAUGAAAAAAUAAACAUUUUAUAAAUAGUAGCACGUGAGUUUCAUGCAGUAGUUAUCUCGCAUGUGACUUCAGUGGUGCAAAUUAGAAUUUUGAACUUCUAUGAUAAAAAAGAAAAUCAUGCUAUGAUUUUUUAUUCAAUUUUGGCAUUUCCUGUCAUAUAUUGAGUUCUUUUUAAUCUUGUUUUGUCCUUUAAUACCUUAAUUGCACAUUCAUUUUGCAUGCAGAAUUUUUUGGCAACUUUAUGUUAAUAACUGUUAACUUUACACUGAUAGAAGUGGUAGCCUUUUACUGCACAGGGCCAAUACAUUGUACAAAUCCUUAGCUUCUUAUAAAUGUCUUCAUUACUUGUCACAUCCUCUCUUGUUUUUGGUGGCUUUAUUUGGAAAGGAAAAGGGACAGUUCUGAAUUCUGAUACAUAACUGUAUGAUUGGAAUUCGUUUCUUGCAUUAAUUAGUAUCACUAUUUCUUGUGCACUAUUCUUAUGCGUGUCCUUGAGCAUUGUGUGCAGAACUUGUGCACACAUGCCAGCCUACCUAUAUAAAAUCCUCAUCUUUAUCUCACACGUCCAUUAGUUUCCGACUCCCAACCAUGAAGUUUUAUAUGAGUCUGUGUGCUUGUGCAGAUGCAUUUAUGUUUCUGUGCACAAAAGUGCAUUUUUUUUGCAAAGGAAUUUAUAUGAGCACAAUUCUUUAUAUUUAUGUUUGUUGAGCAAAGAAAAGGGAAAGAGGAGACAACUUGUUGAGAAAAAGGAAUCUUGAGGAACGAUAAGAAUUCCUAUGAAGGAAAAUAGCGAGAGAAUCUCAAGACUAGCAAAAGAGCAAAAGUUGAAAAUCAGGAACUCACAAUUGAAAGGGUUUUGAAAAUGUCAAAUCAACCUUAUUUGGUAAUGAUGUUGAGGCAUAGUUGUAGAAAUGUCUGCUGUUCCUUUAUCUACUCCUACAAACUCAGUUCUCAAUACCAUUUUUCAUUUCCACAAAUUUUUUUGGACAUACUCAAUUAGAAUCUUCAAUAAAAAAAAGAAAAAACUGAAUUAUUUGAUCUUUCAUUUUAAUUUGGGCUUGAAAUCUGCCUUAUAAAAGUUGAGGCACCGAAGAUAUUUCUUCAAAAUUGUUCUCCUAUGCUCCUUGCUUUGCUCUAUUUCUUUUGAUGGAUAUAAUUCUCACCUUUUGCCUUCAUAUUUUCUUCUCAGGUGCAAAUAAUUUGCACCUUGUUAAAAUAAAAGGGAGAUAAUGAAUUUUUUUUCUAGUGCAAUAAAAUUUUUUAUGCUUUUAGGUUAAUUUUAUUUUAUUUAAUUUUUUCACUUAUUUAAGUGGUGAAGAGUUGGAAUUUUAUGGUUUUGUAAGCUUGCUAGCUGCUAAUCAAAUUCAGACUUAGUAUCAUCAGAUUAUGGCUAUUCCACUAUCAGGCAGCAGUAUAUGUGAAAUGCUUCGAAAUUGGUGGACUCGGACUUCUCUAUGUAAUGCAAAUGCACUGAUAAGAAUAAUGCUUCCAUGCCUUGUUUGCUGGGAAGUUUGGGAAGAACGGAAUAUGAGAGUCUUUGAAGAACAUUCACCUGAGGAGCAUAAUGAUGAUUUUAAUGAAGAGAGGACAAAGAACUCAACCAACCAAUCUAUGCUGAGUAAUCACACAAACAAGCAAUCUGAAAAUUGUUGUAUCAAUGAGAUUUGCUCUCAUGAAAUUCUUCAAGAUGGAGAGACUGACUCUGAUUCCAAGAUGAUCCAGAAUAGGAUGAUGAGAAAGGCAUCUUUUAAACUUUCAUGGUGUUGUAAAAGUGAAAAUAGUGAUCAGCACAAACAUGAUGUUGUCUCUUUUGAAAGAGGAAACAUAACAACUGCAGAGCGCAGCAGUAAACAGAUUUCUUUGAAGUGGGAAUCUAACCCACAGACGGUGCUCAUCAUGACCAAACCAAAUUCAACUUCUGUUCGAAUUCUGUGUGCAGAUAUGGUCAGGUGUGCAUAUUAGUUUUUCAUUUUGCAAUUCUGAAAUUAUUUUCUCUCUUCGGUUGCUUUCAUCAUUGUUCCAUAUUUAAGCUCUGUGACAGUUUUCAGGGCAUGACAGCAUGAAGUUGCUUCAUAUAAACAAUAUAGUUUGUGUCUUAAGUGCUGUAAGAUAAUACCUUGCAUUGUAGCCUUUUUAUCGUUGUAUUGUUUUCUGUUCCUUAAUUACUAAGUUACUAAAACCCCAUCCAAAAUUGUGGAGGUGUUGACCAAAAGCUGUCUUUGUUUCGUUCAUAGGAAAGCAAACCUCAGUUAUUUCCCUGACCAAAACUUGGGUGCAUUCAUGUUGACCUUUAUCACUUUUCUUCUCCUGCAAUCAAAUAUACUUGUAGCUCUGGCAAUUGUCCUUGAGGUCUCCAUGUGCUCCAACUUUGAGCGCUAACCAAGUAGUCAACAAAUCAAAAGGGGCUUAGGGUGUUGGGUGAGGUGAUGGGGGAUACCAAAAUGUGGGAUGUUAACUUUUGUCUUUAUGGAUGCUAAAAUCUAGAUGGGUGGAUACAAUGAACUUUCAGUUUAAUGCAUUGCAGGUUGUGGGUAUACAAGAUGCAAUGGAUUUUUUUUUCUCUUACAAGUCAGAGGUUUUAAUAUUAUUUAUCUCUUCUUAUUAGAAAAAAAGAAGGAUAUUGCACAUAAACAGGACAGUGAUUGUAGAAAUUUUGAAUUUGAUUUUCCAUCAAGUUUGGCAGCUGUAGAAUUGUGGGUGUUUGUAUGCGAUAUUGCUGUCAAACUUGUCUCUUUAGAAUGUGUUCUUCUGACUUAAGUUCCUUAUGUUGGGAAACUAUUCCAUGAAAUGAGUUUCAAGUGUGGCUUCCAUAGUUUCACUAUUUUCAUUUAUUAUCCCUUGAAAAUUACCUAAAUUUGGUUGGAGCUUGUAGUUUGAUUCUGCUAUUUUUAUCUGUAAAUGUCUGCUUGCCAUUAAGCUAAUUUGGCUAUUGCAUAAUUGUUCAAUGUCCAUUACCAGAUGGUUGAAAGAGCAUAAAAGGUUAAACAUUUAUGUGGAACCACGUGUGAGGGGUGAACUUCUAACAGAAUCAUCAUACUUCAACUUUGUGCAAACAUGGAAAGAUGGUAAGCUUUUAAUACAUUCUUAUUUUCAUAAAAUUUACCAACAUAUAGUUGAUUAUAUUUAAUCCAUGAGAGCAACCUCAUAUCGUUUUUAACAUUCUUUUCAUUCCAAAUUCCAGACAUAUAAUCUUUAGAACAUAUUUCACAUCAUUGAUUCUUCACUCUCAUUGUCACUCCUAAUAUUAUCUUGUUUUACUUCAUUUUCCUCUCUAAUUUUAUUUGUCUGUGGAGGUUCAAAUGUUUGAUAGGCCCACUUUUUUUAUAGAAUCCUUCUUUGUGGAGAGAGGUGAGAAAAAAUUGAUUUCUAUAAUUAGUAAUAAUGUCACUUUGUUAACCUUCUUUAGUGUUGAAAAAUAAGAGAAAAGAAAAACAAUUUGUAGGGCACAGUAUAUCCAUGUUUGAUUUCUUGAUAAUGGAUGUGGCGUCAGUGCCUGUGAGCUUGUAAAUAUUGCUUUGCAGAUAAGGAAAUUUCGCUACUGCACACUGAAGUUGACGUUGUGGUAACUCUUGGUGGAGAUGGUACUGUUCUUUGGGCAGCAUCAAUGUUCAAAGGACCGGUUCCUCCCAUUGUUCCAUUUUCCUUAGGUUCCCUUGGCUUUAUGACACCAUUUUGUAUCCUUCAAGUUUUCUAAUGAAGUUUCCUCAACGAAAAAGCAAUUGGGAAAUUGCCCAUUGCUAAUGUUGGCUUCUCUUUCACAGGAGUUAUAAUUUAAUUUAAAUAAUUGUUACCUUUCCCAUAUCUGACUCCAAAUUAUUCUUUAACAUUUUAUUUAGAUAGUGAGCAUUACAGAGAUUCCCUUGAUACAAUUCUUAGGGGCCCAAUUAGCAUAACAUUGCGACACCGGUUGCAAUGCCACGUUAUUAGAGAUGCAGCAACAAAUGAGGUUGAAACUGAGGAUCCUAUACUCGUUCUAAAUGAGGUUACUAUUGACCGUGGAAUAUCGUCUUUCCUCACAAAUUUGGAAUGCUAUUGUGACAACUCAUUUGUCACAUGUGUGCAAGGUGAUGGUUUAAUUUUAUCAACAACAUCUGGUAGCACUGCAUAUUCAUUGGCAGCUGGAGGAUCGAUGGUCCAUCCACAGGUUCCUGGCAUCCUUUUUACACCAAUUUGUCCACAUUCCUUAUCCUUUCGGCCUCUGAUAUUACCUGAACAUGUAACGAUACGAGUGCAAGUUCCUUUCAACAGCAGAAGCCCUGCUUGGGCAUCAUUUGAUGGCAAGGACAGGAAAAAGUUAACACCGGGUGAUGCACUUGUAUGCAGCAUGGCGCCUUGGCCUGUGCCUACAGCAUGCCAAGUUGAUUCUACCAAUGACUUCUUGCACAGCAUCCAUGAGGGCCUACACUGGAAUCUGAGGAAGACCCAAUCUUUUGAUGGCCCUCAUGAUCAAUAAUGUUAUUUCAGAUAAAAGCAAGCAAAUCUAACUGUAAUCUGAAAUAUUGCAUCCUAGUAGAGGGAAAUAUGUAAAGUUCCAAAUCCGACUUAUCGACUAUUAUCUGCAGAUGAUCAUGAAAAUUAGAGGAGGGGAUGAAGUGUAUGUUGUAAUAACAAAAUGCCUCUGAAAUAUAUAGAACUUGACAUAGCUGUUAAAUGAGUAGAUGCAAGAAAAGCUGCUCGUUGAAUGUGUAAGUUAUUAGUGGUGCCUCUUUGGCUCUUUCUAGCAUUAGCAACUAUCUAACUUUUUACCUUGUUUCUUUCAAUGGCUGGUUAAUGCAGAAGCCAAAAUAUUUU